rnacentral:rRNA from 1 species
AUUGAACGCUGGCGGCAUGCUUUACACAUGCAAGUCGAACGGCAGCGCGGGCUUCGGCCUGGCGGCGAGUGGCGAACGGGUGAGUAAUACAUCGGAACGUGCCCAGUAGUGGGGGAUAGCUCGGCGAAAGCCGGAUUAAUACCGCAUACGACCUGAGGGUGAAAGCGGGGGAUCUUCGGACCUCGCGCUAUUGGAGCGGCCGAUGGCAGAUUAGCUAGUUGGUGGGGUAAAGGCCUACCAAGGCGACGAUCUGUAGCUGGGCUGAGAGGACGACCAGCCACACUGGGACUGAGACACGGCCCAGACUCCUACGGGAGGCAGCAGUGGGGAAUUUUGGACAAUGGGCGAAAGCCUGAUGCAGCAAUGCCGCGUGUGUGAUGAAGGCCUUCGGGUUGUAAAGCACUGUUGGCGGGAACGAAAAGGUCUGUGCCAAUACCACGGUUCGAUGACGGUACCCGCAGAAUAAGCACCGGCUAACUACGUG